GACGAACGCUGGCGGCGUGCCUAAUACAUGCAAGUAGAACGCUUAAGGAGGAGCUUGCUUCUCUGGAUGAGUUGCGAACGGGUGAGUAACGCGUAGGUAACCUGCCUGGUAGCGUGGGAUAACUAUUGGAAACGAUAGCUAAUACCGCAUAACAGUAGAUAUCGCAUGAUAUCUACUUGAAAGGUGCAAUUGCAUUACUACCAGAUGGACCUGCGUUGUAUUAGCUAGUUGGUGAGGUAACGGCUCACCAAGGCGACGAUACAUAGCCGACCUGAGAGGGUGAUCGGCCACAAUGGGACUGAGACACGGCCCAGAAUCCUACGGGAGGCAGAAGUAGGGAAUCUUCGGCAAUGGACGGAAGUCUGACCGAGCAACGCCGCGUGAGUGAAGAAGGUUUUCGGAUCGUAAAGCUCUGUUGUAAGAGAAGAACGAGUGUGAGAGUGGAAAGUUCACACUGUGACGGUAUCUUACCAGAGAGGGACGGCUAACUACGU
rnacentral:rRNA from 1 species